UUGGCUAUUGUAAGCUGGGACUGUCUGUUUCAUUCAACUAGAAUCUUAAAAAUUCUGGGUUGCAGACUGAGUAGUUGAAUUGAAGUUCAGUUUAUGAACAUUGAUAACAUAAUUCUCGUAACAGUGGGAAGGAUGGCCAGCCACACAAGAGGGGGAUUUUUACUAAGGAGGCGGUGCUGACUGAGGUGCAUGCUGGCCAUUUCGGAGUGAAGAGCAUGAUUGGCAAAAUCAACCUACGCUUCUGAUGGGGAAUUGUCAAGGAGGUGGACAGCUGGUCAAGUGAAAUAACCUUUUGUUUAUCAAUCACAUUUAUUAUAUCUGAAAUUAUUAUGAUUUCAAUUACUGUCAUAUCGGAGCGCACACAAUGUUUCAAUUUGUCCAUUUUUGCUUAAAAAGGUCAGUACCCUGUUAAGCCUGACAAAAGUUUGAGAGGGUGAAGACUAUGGCGCAGGAGUUGAAACCCAUCAAAGUUGUUUUACCAUGGCACAUGAUCGGGGUGGACCUCAUCGGACCCUUCACGAAAUCCAGGAAUGGCAACAGCUGGUGUCUGACGGAGACCAAUCACUUUACCAAGUGGGUGGAGGUAAUACCCAUUAUUAAGGUCAGUAAAGGAAGAGUAUGUGCUUAACUCUAAAUUCCCUUCUGUAACCCAUUAAAAAGGGUGAUUGGAACCAAAAAUAGAUUUUAGUUUUGUAUGAUACCAAUCAAGGACGAGACUAGCGAGGCCACCUCCAAGGCGAUGGUGGACAUCUUCAACACCUGCCGCCAAGGAGGUAUCUCGUCCACCAGAACAAGUGAGUUUGGAUCAGUCUGAUUCUCUGAGUCGGAGUGGGACCAGCUUGAGGCAGGCUAUACCUUCCAAAAGUGUUGAACAGUACAUAUCUCCCAUUUUAUAACACUGCACUAAUCCAUUACAUUUUCUCACAAUAAAGUGUAACCUGCU